rnacentral:rRNA from 1 species
UGGGGAAUAUUGCACAAUGGGCGCAAGCCUGAUGCAGCCAUGCCGCGUGUGUGAAGAAGGCCUUCGGGUUGUAAAGCACUUUCAGCGGGGAGGAAGGCGAUAAGGUUAAUAACCUUGUCGAUUGACGUUACCCGCAGAAGAAGCACCGGCUAACUCCGUGCCAGCAGCCGCGGUAAUACGGAGGGUGCAAGCGUUAAUCGGAAUUACUGGGCGUAAAGCGCACGCAGGCGGUCUGUCAAGUCGGAUGUGAAAUCCCCGGGCUCAACCUGGGAACUGCAUUCGAAACUGGCAGGCUAGAGUCUUGUAGAGGGGGGUAGAAUUCCAGGUGUAGCGGUGAAAUGCGUAGAGAUCUGGGGGAAUACCGGUGGCGAGGCGGCCCCCUGGACAAAGACUGACGCUCAGGUGCGAAGGCGUGGGGAGCAAACAGG